rnacentral:rRNA from 1 species
CCUACGGGCGACUGCAGUGAGGAAUAUUGGUCAAUGGGCGCAAGCCUGAACCAGCCAAGUCGCGUGAGGGAAGACGGCCCUACGGGUUGUAAACCUCUUUUGCCGGGGAGCAAGCCGGAGCACGGGUGCCCAGGCGGAGAGGACCCGGAGAAAAAGCAUCGGCUAACUCCGUGCCAGCAGCCGCGGUAAUACGGAGGAUGCGAGCGUAAUCCGGAUUUAUUGGGUUGAAAGGGUGCGCAGGCGGGCUGUUAAGCCGGCGGUAAAAAUUCAGGGCUCAACCCUGUCGCGCCGUCGGAACGGGCUGUCUUGCGUUGGCGAGACGUAUGCGGAAUGCGUGGUGUAGCGGU